rnacentral:rRNA from 1 species
AACUCAAAGGAAUUGGCGGGGGCCCGCACAAGCGGUGGAUUAUGUGGUUUAAUUCGAUGAUACGCGAGGAACCUUACCAAGACUCAAAUGGGAAAUGACAGAUUUAGAAAUAGAUCCUUCUUCGGACAUUUUUCAAGGUGCUGCAUGGUUGUCGUCAGCUCGUGCCGUGAGGUGUUAGGUUAAGUCCUGCAGCGAGCGCAACCCCUGUCACUAGUUGCUAACAUUAAGUUGAGGACUCUAGUGAGACUGCCUACGCAAACAGAGAGGAAGGUGGGGACGACGUCAAGUCAUCAUGGCCCUUACGUCCGGGGCUACACACGUGCUACAAUGGAUGGUACAGCGGGCAGCUACAUAGCAAUAUGAUGCUAAUCUCUAAAAGCCAUUCACAGUUCGGAUUGGGGUCUGCAACUCGACCCCAUGAAGUAGGAUUCGCUAGUAAUCGCGUAUCAGCAAUGACGCGGUGAAUACGUUCCCGGGCCUUGUACACACCGCCCGUC